rnacentral:misc_RNA from 1 species
AGAUAAUCAGAUUCCAUAGGGCAAGGUUUAAUAAUUAGUAAUACAUUUAACAAGCAAGAUUAAUUACAAAGUGCACAUAAUAAAGAUACAACCACAGUAGGCAACAAAGGAUAAAGCUUACUCAGUUUACAUUUGCAGAAGACUCAUACAAUAAACUUGAUGGCAUUAACCCUGACAAAUUCUCAAACAUCUGAGGCAUAAAAAUAUCAUCAAAAGAUGACUCCAAUGGAGAAGCAUCUGGUGUUUUAGGCUGCUUACCAAUAAGAUCCACAGCGGGGACCUCUACUACAUGAUCAUCAACAAUUUUUGAUGCAUCAUGUUGGACCAUGUGAUUAUUGCCGCCCCUGUCCUUGUCCCCGCCGCCGCCGCCGACAUCAUUAUCACUAUCCAUAAACCUACUUGGGUCAGGCAAUUCAGCAUAUUGACCAGUGAGUUCUUGCACCAAAGCCCUGAAAUUACAGGCAGGGGUCUUGAACUUCAUAGGGUUAGAUAUGUAGACAACUUUCAUAGGCUUUUUGUUGUUGGUUUUGGACUUUUUGGUAGCUUUUCUUUCUUGAAGACUACUGCUAUUACGAUUAUUACUGCCCACUAGAUUAUCCAUAUGAGCAAGAGAUGGAUAAGCUUUCAAAGUUCACAGGGGCAACAACUAGCAUAAAAAAAUUUGAUUACAAUAGUUGUUCAGCUGAGGAGAGAGAAAGGGUUCUUUUGAGGCUGCAAAAGAAGGCUUCUGAGAAAGAAAAAGUUGAGCUUGACAGCAGAGAAAUA